CUUAUGGGUCAUCAGUGUCCAAAAUGUAAGGACUCUUUUAAAAACACAUGAUCACAAUGCUAUUAUUAUGUCCCCCAAAUGAAUAUUUUUUUCAUAAAUAUAAUCAAAUAUUUAGGAAUAACAUUUUAAUAAAAAACAUGCAUCUAAUCUUCAAAGAAUUUUAUAGCUUACUGGAACAGAUAGACAAAGAAAGCAGUGAUGAUACUGCAUUACAUCGGUACAGUAGCAUCAUAUGCCUGUGUAAAUUAUCUGACUUCAACUAUUCUAUGGAGGUGUGGGGGAGAAAGAGGGAGAGAUGGAGAGAAGAAGAAGGAGGAGAAGGAGGGAGAAGACAAGGUAAGGAGGAGAAGGAGGAGAAUUAGAAAAACAAGAGAGGAGAUGAGAAGGAAAGUGCAAAAUAACAAUUUUGAAAUAGUACAAGACAAUUUCCCCUUCUCCUUCCUCAUGACCAAUGUAAGUGUGACUUGAGGCAGGAACCUACUUUUCCAUCAGUCAGUCCCAUCACUUAUGUGCCUUUUAUAGUGUGGACACAUCACCACCCUGAAUAUAAUUUCAGUGUUUAGAAAUAAGUAUUCUUUGCAACACUAUUUAUCUCAUCUCAACAAGACUGAAAGCUCCUAUAGUGUCAGGAGAGUAGAAAGGAUCUGUAGCUUACAAUUCUCAUAGCAAAAUAAGCAUAGCAGGAUUUCAAUGACCAGCCCACAAAAGUAUCCUGUGUACUACUAGUUGAGGGGUGGCCCCUAAGUAAGAAACCCUAACAUGUAACUCUUAGGGGUAUUAUGUCAUUAACUUUUUAAAAAUCUACCAACGUGGAACCAGAUUCAGCAAGAAGAACAAGGACAACAUAGAUCCUUACAUAUACACACCCUUUGGAAGUGGACCCAGAAACUGCAUUGGCAUGAGGUUUGCUCUCAUGAACAUGAAACUUGCUCUAAUCAGAGUCCUUCAGAACUUCUCCUUCAAACCUUGUAAAGAAACACAGAUCCCCCUGAAAUUAAGCUUAGGAGGACUUCUUCAACCAGAAAAACCCGUUGUUCUAAAGGUUGAGUCAAGGGAUGGCACCGUAAGUGGAGCCUGAAUUUUCCUAAGGACUUCUGCUUUGCUCUUCAAGAAAUCUGUGCCUGAGAACACCAGAGACCUCAAAUUACUUUGUGAAUAGAACUCUGAAAUGAAGAUGGGCUUCAUCCAAUGGACUGCAUAAAUAACCGGGGAUUCUGUACAUGCAUUGAGCUCUCUCAUUGUCUGUGUAGAGUGUUAUACUUGGGAAUAUAAAGGAGGUGACCAAAUCAGUGUGAGGAGGUAGAUUUGGCUCCUCUGCUUCUCACGGGACUAUUUCCACCACCCCCAGUUAGCACCAUUAACUCCUCCUGAGCUCUGAUAAGAGAAUCAACAUUUCUCAAUAAUUUCCUCCACAAAUUAUUAAUGAAAAUAAGAAUUAUUUUGAUGGCUCUAACAAUGACAUUUAUAUCACAUGUUUUCUCUGGAGUAUUCUAUAAGUUUUAUGUUAAAUCAAUAAAGACCACUUUAC
rnacentral:lncRNA from 1 species